rnacentral:rRNA from 1 species
ACCUCGGAUCAGGUAGGAAUACCCGCUGAACUUAAGCAUAUCAAUAAGCGGAGGAAAAGAAACCAACAGGGAUUGCCCUAGUAACGGCGAGUGAAGCGGCAACAGCUCAAAUUUGAAAUCUGGCCUUCGGGUCCGAGUUGUAAUUUGUAGAGGAUGCUUUUGGUGAGGUGCCUUCCGAGUUCCCUGGAACGGGACGCCAUAGAGGGUGAGAGCCCCGUCUGGUUGGACACCGAUCCUCUGUAAAGCUCCUUCGACGAGUCGAGUAGUUUGGGAAUGCUGCUCUAAAUGGGAGGUAUAUGUCUUCUAAAGCUAAAUAUUGGCCAGAGACCGAUAGCGCACAAGUAGAGUGAUCGAAAGAUGAAAAGCACUUUGAAAAGAGAGUUAAAAAGUACGUGAAAUUGUUGAAAGGGAAGCGCUCAUGACCAGACUUGGGCUUGGUUGAUCAUCCAGGGUUCUCCCUGGUGCACUCUUCCAGUUCAGGCCAGCAUCAGUUCGCUGUGGGGGAUAAAGGCUUUGGGAAUGUGGCUCCCUCGGGAGUGUUAUAGCCCAUUGUGUAAU